AUGAAGGACAAUGUGUGGUGGCUGAGGGUGGCCACAAGCUCGCAGCACCAUGCUCAGCACAGCCCCUGUUCAGCAGGACUGAUGAGCUGGUGUGAGCUGCAGCCAGCAUCAGCAAGACAAAGGCAGAGAUGGUGGAAAUGGGAACUAACCCAGAGAAUUAAGGGAACCAAGCAGCUGAAAGGAAAACCCAGCUGUUUCUGUGCAGUGCAGUUGCCUCCACUGUUUGUGAUCUACUCUGUCAAAGGAUGCCAGGGCAGGGUGAGAGGUCUCAACUCUCUGUGGCAAAACCCCUGCCAUUGCUUUUUCAAAAGCAUUUCCCCACGACACCGUGUGCUUCUGCUUCUACGCGCAUUCCUAAGCAACAGCCACCACCGCCAUCAGCUCUGCCAUGAAGACGCCAUCCUGUUUUCCAACACCUUUUUUAUAAGCUCUUCUGCUUGCAAGGGCUCAGUGUGAUUGUUCCCAUGGGGCUGAGGCAGAAAGGCAGUGUCAGAAGCUCAAAGCAGAAGGGAUCACCAUUAUUGCCUGGCCCCAUCCUUCCCGUUUAACAGGGGAUACCUAUCUCCACAUACCAAGAGAGCACAUCAGAACAAAUUCUGGAUCAGACUAGCAGUUCAUUUAUCCUGGAAUUAUACUUUGGUAUAAUUGUAUGUGCUAAAACAGUUAACACUUUAAAGGCAGACAAAACCUGUAAAUGAUAUAACAUUUGACUGCAAAAUUGUAGGUAGGGCAUUGACCCGAAUAAUUCUGGGUUCUGACAUUAGCUAUUUCCUGACAAAAAGGAGGAGUGGUACAGCAUACAUGUAAAGUAAGAAGCCAGCAUGGAAAUUUGGAUAUUGCAAGUGUCCAUCAUACCAGUGUACACAUUAUUAGCUAUCCUCACUUUGUGCAGACACAUCCAUUCAUCUGGUCUAAGUGAUAACCCUUCACUCUCUUGAAGGGUGUAAGGAAGAUUUUUUCUGUACAUUUUUGCAUCUAGGGUGUUCUGUAUUUGGAACUCUAUAGGUUCCACGAUGACUGAGCAUGUGCAGGAAUGACUGCACUACUCUUGUCACGUAAAAAAGGUGCCUCCUUGCCACUUGGCCCUGUUCACAUGAUAAGGUCUGAGUUGUUAUUUUAAGAUCUGAGCUGUAAAAAAGCAUGAUUGUUAUAUGAUAGAAAUGAUGGGCACGAUGGACACUUGCAAUAUCCAAAAUUCCAUAGAAAAUAGUUUUUUUGUUGUCAAAACCAAAGCUUUUAAUAACACAUUCUUAUGGCUAGCAAAAAACUUGUCCCUUUAACACUGUUUAGAUUUGGCUUGUGAAAAACUCAUACUGGCCUCCUGCUCUUUCCAAGGACUGCAACUCAGCAUGAUCCAAAGCUUUAGCCUUCUUUACAGAAGCAAAAUAAAAUAAUUUUUAUUAAUCCUGGUGAAAAUGAG
rnacentral:lncRNA from 1 species